rnacentral:sRNA from 1 species
AUUAAACUUUUCAUCAUAUAGAUUCUUAGAAUGUGAUUGUGGAGCCACGUUGGAUCUCCAGGGUUAGAUAUAAAUGAAACUGUCUAUGCCGUGUGACAGCCCUUGCAACUAUUCAAUUCAAAGUUGACCAUACAUGAAACUAUUUCAAGCAAACGACGCCCAACAUCAAGUAUUCAAGUUGUUGAUAUUGUCUAAAAGAUUCACCAUAUAUAAAAGCCAACUUCAUGGAAUCGAAAUUGUAGCGGUACAACAGUUACUAGAUCACCACUUUAUGACAAGCACACUCUUGACAUAUUAAUCAAACUUGGCCAAGAUGAUCCCGAGCUA